CCUACGGGCGGCAGCAGUCGGGAAUAUUGCGCAAUGGAGGAAACUCUGACGCAGUGACGCCGCGUGCAGGAAGAAGGUUUUCGGAUUGUAAACUGCUGUAGACAGGGAAGAAAGAAGACAGUACCUGUAGAAUAAGCUCCGGCUAACUACGUGCCAGCAGCCGCGGUAAUACGUAGGUGGCAAGCGUUAGCCGGAUUUAUUGGGUGUAAAGGGAGUGUAGGCGGGAAUGAAAGUCAGAUGUGAAAACUAUGGGCUCAACCCAUAGCCUGCAUUUGAAACUGUAUUUCUUGAGUGCUGGAGAGGCAAUCGGAAUUCCGUGUGUAGCGGUGAAAUGCGUAGAUAUACGGAGGAACACCAGUGGCGAAGGCGGAUUGCUGGACAGUAACUGACGCUGAGGCGCGAAAGCGUGGGGAGCAAACAGGAUUAGAUACCCGUGUAGUC
rnacentral:rRNA from 1 species